rnacentral:rRNA from 1 species
AUUGAACGCUGGCGGCAAGCCUAACACAUGCAAGUCGAACGAGUGGCGGACGGGUGAGUAAUGUCUGGGAAACUGCCUGAUGGAGGGGGAUAACUACUGGAAACGGUAGCUAAUACCGCAUACCAUCGGAUGUGCCCAGAUGGGAUUAGCUUGUAGGUGGGGUAAAGGCUCACCAGGGCGACGAUCCCUAGCUGGUCUGAGAGGAUGACCAGCCACACUGGAACUGAGACACGGUCCAGACUCCUACGGGGGGUAGCAGUGGGGAAUAUUGCACAAUGGGCGCAAUCCUGAUGCAGCCAUGCGGCGUGUAUGAAGAAGGCCUUCGGGUUGUAAAGUACUUUCAGCGGGGAGGCGUUACCCGCAGAAGAAGCACCGGCUAACUCCGUGCCAGCAGCCGCGGUAAUAC